rnacentral:rRNA from 1 species
GACGAACGCUGGCGGCGUGCCUAAUACAUGCAAGUUGAGCGCUGAAGGAUGGUACUUGUACCAACUGGAUGAGCAGCGAACGGGUGAGUAACGCGUGGGGAAUCUGCCUUUGAGCGGGGGACAACAUUUGGAAACGAAUGCUAAUACCGCAUAAAAACUUUAAACACAAGUUUUAAGUUUGAAAGAUACAAUUGCCUCACUCAAAGAUGAUUCGGCGUUGUAUUAGCUAGUUGGUGAGGUAAAGGCUCACCAAGGCGAUGAUACAUAGCCGACCUGAGAGGGUGAUCGGCCACAUUGGGACUGAGACACGGCCCAGACUCCUACGGGAGGCAGCAGUAGGGAAUCUUCGGCAAUGGACGAAAGUCUGACCGAGCAACGCCGCGUGAGUGAAGAAGGUUUUCGGAUCGUAAAACUCUGUUGGUAGAGAAGAACGUUGGUGAGAGUGGAAAGCUCAUCAAGUGACGGUAACUACCCAGAAAGGGACGGCUAACUACGU